rnacentral:lncRNA from 1 species
CAAUACAUACUGAAACCAAAAGAAGCAAAUUCUAAAGUGACAAUUCAAGAUCCCAAAGCUACGAUUUCCCCCAUUUCUUUCUAUUUCUUCACAUUGCAUUACAACAAUUACCAGAUAACAAGGAAGCUACGGUUGGAGUCGCAAUCAAAUGUUCUAUGGAUUACCAAAUUAUUUCUAUCUCUUUUUCUUGAGUUUGCCCCUCUUCUUGAUAACAGUUUGUUUAGCGGGAGACCCUUAUAUAUAUUAUGACUGGACAUUUUCCUACAACAUAACUUCUCCUCUUGGAGUUAAGCAGCAGAGUGAGAUAGAUUGACAUGACUCUGCUUCAACAAAUAUUUCAUACAAAAGUAUACUGCGUAAUAGCAACGGGAUUUUGCGAUUCUAAGGGAGUACGGUGCAAUCUUUCUCAAGAAUAUUCUACGGAUUUUUUCCUACUUCGAUCCGCCGUUAUAUGUUGUCGAAAUUGACGUAUGUUAAAGGUAUUGUCAAGAGAAUCGGCCCAGGUAUGUUAAGGCUAUCACUUCUUUCUUUUGGCAUUAUCUAUACGACACGAACGAAACGAGUAAAUGCACAAUUUCCAUAAAUGACUCUAUUCAUAAAAAUAUUAGGGGUGUCUAUAUUCUUGAUUCCCCAUGUGAAUUAUUAUUAUAUCUUCUGUUCAUGUGUCUUAGAAAAAUACGUAUUUGAUAAAAUUUAUCCGACAUGCAUAUUAUUUUUAUGACAUUCCGAAAAAAUCUUAUUAACGUGUUUCUUAUGCAUUUCAUGCAUUUAUACAUGUACAUUGACCCAUGACCAUAUGGCGUUAUAUACGCGUAUAUCAUAUGUAUAUGGGAUAUGAAAAAAGGUUAUGGUGUUAUCUACGCACCACCACUUGAUCAGCUGGUAUACGUUGAUGAUUUGCCCACAGUGGCCGAAAUGAUAUGAUGGGAUGCCCUCAGAGGCUUGAUGAUGUUAUGAACGCAUAUACCAAUGCAUAGUAUGACAUUUAUAUGCAUAUGCAUGACAUUAUAAAAAUGAAAUGAUUCACAGAGUUAUGCAGACGUACAUGUCGAGUCUUUUACUCCAUAUUUCUCUCAUGUCUAUUAUUUACUAUUUUCAUUCCUUACAUACUCGGUACAUUAUUUGUACCGACGUCCUUUUUGCCUAGGGACGCUGCGUUUCAUGCCCGCAGGUCUCGAUAGAUAGGUCAAGAGUCCUCCAAGUAGGCGAUAAGCUCAGCGGAAGAUGUUGGUACACUCCAUUUAUUCCGGAGUUGCUUAUGUGGUCAGUAUGAUUAGGACAUGUACUAAUUAGUAUGGCGGGGCCCUGUCCCGAUCUUUAUGAC